rnacentral:lncRNA from 1 species
CUAGUGUCAGACUUGCUGAUGCACCACAGGAGGACAAGAAGAAAACCAGAACACUCAUCGCCCUUGAGAAACUAGAUAUGCUGUUGGCGAGAGUGAAAGAGAUAUUCAACACAGGAAAAUCAGACAUCAGUAACACAGACCAUCAAGGCCAGGAGAAUAACAACCUAAAGGAUGAAGUCAUGGUGGAGGAAAAGGAGACAGAUGGACAACUGAAUGGACAGAAAGAGAGAGAACUGGAAAGAGAAAAAAGAGGAGAGACAGAGAAAGGAAGUGAAGAAAAGAGGCCAGUCGACCAGGCAGGUCCACAGCCACUGGAAGGGGUGCAGAUUCUGGAAACUGUCCUUCAGAUUGCUGCAGAUGCAGCAACGCACAUUCUUGCAGCG